rnacentral:rRNA from 1 species
GAAUCCCGUCUUUGACACGGACUGCCUGUACAUUAUGGUGUGCUCUCGAAGAGUCGAGUUGUUUGGGGAUGCAGCUCAAAAUGGGUGGUAAAUGCCAUCUAAAGCUAAAUAUUGGCGAGAGACCGAUAGCGAACAAGUACCGUGAGGGAAAGAUGAAAAGAACUUUGGAAAGAGAGUUAAACAGUACGUGAAAUUGCUGAAAGGGAAACGCUUGAAGUCAGUCACGUUGGCUAGGAAUCAGCCUUGCUCUUGCAUGGUGUACUUUUCUGGUUGACGGGUCAGCAUCAAUUUUGACCAUUGGAAAAAGUCUUUGGGAAUGUGGCAUCUUAGGAUGUGUUAUAGCCCAAUGUCGCAUGCAGUGGUUGGGAUUGAGGAACUCAGCACGCCGCAAGGCCGGGUUUCGACCACGUUCGUGCUUAGGAUGCUGGCAUAAUGGCUUUAAUCGACCCGUCUUGAAACACGGACCAAGGAGUCUAACAUGCCUGCGAGUGUUUGGGUGGAAAACCCAUGCGCGAAAUGAAAGUGAAAGUUGAGAUCCCCUUCAAACAGGGAGCAUUGACGCCCGGACCAGAGCUUUCGUGAUGGAUCCGCGGUAGAGCAUGUAUGUUGGGACCCGAAAGAUGGUGAACUAUGCCUGAAUAGGGUGAAGCCAGAGGAAACUCUGGUGGAGGCUCGUAGCGAUUCUGACGUGCAAAUCGAUCGUCAAAUUUGGGUAUAGGGGCGAAAGACUAAUCGAACCAUCUAGUAGCUGGUUCCUGCC